UCGCAAUGAUGACAAAAAAGGCCGGCUUACAGCUGACUUUACAAAUGGGUUGGUAGUAGAUUUGAUGAACCUUGUCAAGGGUUACUGAGCCAG